rnacentral:rRNA from 1 species
AAUGAACGCUGGCGGCGCGCCUAAUACAUGCAAGUCGAGCGAGAAGACGUAGCAAUACGUUUGUAAAGCGGCGAACGGGUGAGGAAUACAUGGGUAACCUACCCUCGAGUGGGGAAUAACUAGCCGAAAGGUUAGCUAAUACCGCGUACGCUUCUUGGACUUCGGUUCAGGGAGGAAAGCGAUACCGUGGGUAUCGCGCUCUUGGAUGGGCUCAUGUCCUAUCAGCUUGUUGGGAGGUAACGGCUCACCAAGGCUUCGACGGGUAGCUGGUCUGAGAGGACGAUCAGCCAUACUGGCACUGCGACACGGGCCAGACUCCUACGGGAGGCAGCAGUAAGGAAUAUUGCGCAAUGGGCGAAAGCCUGACGCAGCGACGCCGCGUGGGGGAUGAAGGUCUUCGGAUUGUAAACCCCUUUCGGGAGGGAAGAUGGAACGAGCAAUCGUUCGGACGGUACCUCCAGAAGCAGCCACGGCUAACUUCGUGCC